CACUGCGUAGUGUAGUGGUUAGCACGCUCGACUCCCAAUCGAGAGGGCCGGUUUCGAGUCCCGGCGCGGCGA
rnacentral:tRNA from 1 species